CCCUUAGAUGUUCUGGGCUGCACGCGUGUUACAAUCGGGAGUACAACAAGAUUGCAAAUCCUAGUGGAUGAGUGGUUCUUCGAAAUUUUCUGAAGACUGGGAUAGUUGAUUGAAAUUAUUCAACUCAAACGAGGAAUUCCUUGUAAUUGUAAUUCAUUAUAUUGUAAUGAAUACGCCCCUGCCCUUUGUACACACCGCCCGUCGCUCCUACCGAUUGAACGAUCCGGUGAAUUAUUUGGAGUAGCUCUGGAAGUUGCAGAACUUCCUAUGUCACGAAAUUUUGUAAACCUUAUCGUUUAGAGGAAGGAAAAGUCGUAACA
rnacentral:rRNA from 1 species